rnacentral:lncRNA from 1 species
UUUAAAUGGUUCUAAUGUCUCCAAUGGUUUGCUUUUUGUACUUUGCAGUUGAGUGACAAUGAUGCAGUGUGAGGUGAUAAAGAUGCUGGACUUCUGUAAUGUUGCUUGGAACUUUUGAUUGCUUGCAAUUUGGAAAUGGUUUGUUAAAGAAAAUUUUAUGGAUGGCAUUUAGAAUUUGUUAACUGGAUGGAGAACAUCAUGAUUUACCUACUUAUGUACAAAAAUGCGAAAAAAAUGCACAAUGAUCCUUCUGUGCAUUGUGUGAAACAUGUUUGAUAUGUUUUGAGUAAAUCAUUUUCGUUUUGUUUGUUUUUUUGGGGUGAAUUUCAACUCUCUGAUCAGAAGUUUCGAAAACCUAAUUUCUUGAGUUCUCCACGGAUUAAUUGCUUUCAGGUU